ACCUUGUUAUUUACAGGGUCCUGGCCUGUGCUUGGUAGCAGCUAAGACAGCAGCUCACAUUCCAGAUGCAGGUUGCUGGCAUCAGAGGGAGAAAUAUGGACUUAUUUUCAAGGAAUCAUGGUGGUGUGUUUUGAUCUGUCUGGGCUCCCUGAAGGGUUGGCACAAGGGCUUGCUUUUCUUUUACCUGACUCAAACUUUCUCCAAGGCAUAAGCAGUUUCCAGAUGGUGUUUGUUGAAAGCAUGUAAAAGCAAAUGUAUUAGCCUUAGCCACCUGAGACAAAGGAUGACAGUUGGAGCAAGCAACAAGCAACAAGAAAAGUCUGGGAAGAAAGAGAGCACACAUGGAGAUACAUGGAGAAAUGAUGACUUUGAAAAGCUUCUGUAUAUAUGAAGAAAUCCAGAAGGUCACAUACAUGCCCAGGCUGGACAUAUGCCCAGAGACACCUGAAAAGACUCUAAUCUUUAACAUCUAUCUAACUUUUAGGCUCCACACAAGGAGGGAGUGAAGGUUAAGGCAGAGUUUUAAACAACCUGGCCAAGCAUUGAAGGAGUUCCUCAUGCAAAGCCAACCUGCAAAGACUGGGAGAGUAUUUUAUACUUUUGGCUCUCACUAUUUCAGGAAAUCUCUUCAAAUCACUAGCUGACCACUAAGCUAAAAUAACAAAACUUCAGUGGCCAAUGACAAGGAAUAUAGCUUUAACAAAAAUGGUUUAGAGAAGUGUCUAAACCAUUAAAGUGUUAAACAACAACAAACUACAACAAGCAGCAACAACAAACUCUGGAGAAGAAGGAGAAUCUGAUUUCCAAAGUUGUCAUAUUAUUCAAAAUAUCCACUUUGCCACAAAAUGUUAUGACACAUGCAAAGAAGCAAGAAAUUACGGCCCAUUUGCAGGAAAAUAAGAAAUGUAUAGAAACAGUCCCUGAAGAAGCCCAGACACUGGACUUACCAGACAAAGACUUUAAAUCAACUGUCUUAACAUAUGUUCAAAGAGUUAAAAGGGAACCAUGGACAAAGAACUAAAGGAAACCAGAAGAAUGAUGUGUCACCAUAUAGAGAAUAUCAAUAAAGCUAUACAAAAUAUAAGAAACAACCUAAUAGAAAUUCUGAAGCUGAAAAGUACAAUUACUGCAAUGAAAAGUUAAUUAGAGUGGUUCAACAACAGAACAAAGAAUAAGCAAACUUGAAGGAAGGUUAAUUGAGAUUAUCUAUUGUAUGAAGCAAAAAGAAGAAUAAAGAAGAAUUAGCAAAGAUAAAUAAUUCCUGGAGUUUCAAUGUACAACAGGGUAAUGACAGUUAAACAAUAUUGUAUAGUGAUAAUUUGUUAAGAGGAUAAAUUUUAAAUCUAAUUACACACAUGUACAAUGGUAACUAUGUAGAGGUACUGGAUAUGUUUAUUAGUUUGGUUGUGAUCAUUUCACAACGUACA
rnacentral:lncRNA from 10 species